rnacentral:rRNA from 12 species
AUAGUCCCGUACAUGAAAAUCCCUUUUAAGUGAAAUCGAGUAGGUCGGAGCACGUGAAACUUUGACUGAAUAUAGGUGGACCAUCAUCUAAGGCUAAAUACUCCCAACUGACCGAUAGUGAACCAGUACCGUGAGGGAAAGGCGAAAAGAACCCCUGUGAGGGGAGUGAAAUAGAACCUGAAACCAUACGCUUACAAGCGGUCGGAGCGCACAUGUGCGUGACGGCGUGCCUUUUGCAUAAUGAGCCUACGAGUUACCGUUGCUAGCAAGGUUAAGUGAUUAAGUCACGAAUCCGUAGCGAAAGCGAGUCUGAAUAGGGCGCUUUAGUUAGUAGUGGUAGACGCGAAACCGUGUGAUCUACCCAUGGGCAGGUUGAAGCAGUAGUAACAUACUGUGGAGGACCGAACCGGUUGACGUUGAAAAGUCUUCGGAUGACCUGUGGGUAGGGGUGAAAGGCCAAUCAAACUCGGAAAUAGCUCGUACUCCCCGAAAUGCAUUUAGGUGCAGCGUUGAUUAAUAGUUUUAUAGAGGUAGAGCUACUGAUUGGAUGCGGGGGCUUCACCGCCUACCAAUUCCUGACAAACUCCGAAUGCUAUAAAAUGUUUAUCAGCAGUGAGGGCAUGGGUGCUAAGGUCCAUGUCCGAAAGGGAAAGAACCCAGACCAUCAGCUAAGGUCCCCAAAUGUAUGUUAAGUUGAAAUAACGCGGUUGAACUGCUUAGACAGCUAGGAUGUUGGCUUAGAAGCAGCCAUCAUUUAAAGAAAGCGUAAUAGCUCACUAGUCGAGUCGGCCUGCGCGGAAGAUGUAACGGGGCUAAGCAAUAUACCGAAGCUGCGGCAG